rnacentral:rRNA from 1 species
AGAGUUUGAUUAUGGCUCAGGAUGAACGCUAGCUACAGGCUUAACACAUGCAAGUCGAGGGGUAGCAGGGUAGCAAUACCGCUGACGACCGGCGCACGGGUGAGUAACACGUAUCCAACCUUCCCAUAACUCAGGGAUAGCCUUUCGAAAGAAAGAUUAAUACCUGAUAGUACUUUUUCAAGGCAUCUUGAGAAAGUUAAAGAUUUAUUGGUUAUGGAUGGGGAUGCGUUCCAUUAGAUAGUUGGUGAGGUAACGGCUCACCAAGUCUUCGAUGGAUAGGGGUUCUGAGAGGAAGGUCCCCCACAUUGGUACUGAGACACGGACCAAACUCCUACGGGAGGCAGCAGUGAGGAAUAUUGGUCAAUGGGCGAGAGCCUGAACCAGCCAAGUAGCGUGAAGGAAUGAAGGUCCUAUGGAUUGUAAACUUCUUUUAUAGUAGAAUAAAGUGAUCCACGUGUGGAUUUUUGUAUGUAUACUAUGAAUAAGGAUCGGCUAACUCCGUGCCAGCCGCCGC